UCCAAAUGUGUGCGACACAGCCUUUCUGGA
rnacentral:piRNA from 1 species